GCAGGCACACUGAAAAUCUAAAUAUAAAACAUCUCAAAGCAGUAAUUCAGAACUUCGUGGUGGUGUGGGCAGGUGUGUUAAUUUUAGAGUACUAAACAAUGCCAAACUUUCAACAGUAUUCUCAUCUCAAUUUCCUCACUGCUCCUUUCCAUCUUAUUUCAUUUGAAGAAGUGUGGCCAUAAACCACUGGGAUUGAUUAAAUCCCUCUGGAAUAUUAAUCAAGACAUAAGAUAUGUUUUUGUUCAGUGCUUAAUCCCAUGGUGCUUCAUUAAUCUAAUUUCCAAGUGCUUCAAAAACCAAUUAACUGAUCCAGAGGCUCUCCCAAAAAUGCCUUAUGCCCAAAGGUCUCCUGGCCAAAUUAAUCUUUCUAAGAAUACCAGAAGACAUGUUCAUUCUUCAGCCUACUUAACAUUGCCUUGGUUUCGUCAUCCACCUGCAAAUAGUGGAGAAGGCACAAAUACAGGCACAUUGUGCAGGUUCAGGAUGGGGAAGGAAAGUAAACUGCAGGGCAGAAGUAAACCCUUCCACCAUGUGAAUCUGAUGGCAACUUCUCAGGCAUCUGAGUCUGACUUGACAAUGUGACAGAGUACCCUGCUCAGGGUAUCAUAAGAAGGGUUAGACUGCAUACAAUAGCAUAAAGUAGGAGACAGGACCAAUACCACAAAUGUAGACCUUUUUUUUCUUUUUCUUUUUCUUUUUUUUUUUUUUCCUUUUUUUUCUUUUUUUUCUUUUUUUCUUUUUCCUAUCUGGUUGGUCAUUCGUAGGGUUUAUUUGUCUCAGAAAAUUUAAAAGCACGGUACUGUUGUGUUAUUGGUGUAUUGCUUUUCGAAGCCAACACUUCUGCUUUCCACAGUAGCCCUCUAGUGAGCUUUUAUCAAGAUUUCCUGGUGUGAUAGGUUCUGCAGAUGAGGUAAGACAAAGUCCAAUGUCUGGAAUUCAUCCUAGGUUCAGGUUUUGUCUGCAUCAGCAAGCAGCAUGGCUCAAUAGGAGUAGAGUGCACAGUUCUUGUGCUGCUGCUGAGUACAGACUGCUUGUACUGUAUGUGGACACUGGUACAACACAACUUCAGAUUUUUGUGUUAAACAUCAGCUGUUUGGUGCCUGAGCAAGGAUUCUGAGGAUUAAAAUCCAUGCAGAGCCAGUGAGGUCCCCUCUGCAGGCAAAGUUCCACUCUGUUCAUGGCCUUAAAGGUAAACUCUCACUCCAAAUAUGAUGACUGAAGUGAAUGGAGAGGUGUUUCCAAAAUCAUACAGUGAUAAUUUUAAGAGGUGGAAAAGAAGACACCAGCGAAGUCAAAAGUGGGCAAAGUUUCAGCCUUGUCCUCGAACUGGCAGCUGGGUGCACCCACUCUCUUGGGGGCUAUGCCUCCAUAAAAUGGGAGGAAACACAGGGCAUGGAGAUACAUUGUAGUAACCCACCUUCAUGGGGGCACAUCUCUCUCCAAAGAGUCUUUAUAGCUCAUCAGAGUGUGCUAGGUAUUGGAGUAAAAUGUUAAAAUGUAUCUUUUAAAACAUUAAUAUAACACGGCUGUUACAUUUCUUCUCCCUCAGAUUUUCCCAGCUGGUUGUGUCAGCUCUGGUUGUGUGUCCAGUGGAGGAUGGCACAGCAUGGCACAGUCUGAGAAAUCCAUGGCUAUCCAAGUGUGGAAGUCAUCACUCUGCCCUUUGUAGUAAAUCAAAAGAACUGUGUGCCCAGGUAGGCAAAAAGGCCCAUGUCAUCCCAGCCUGUAUCAGUAAUAGCGUGGCCAGCAGGAGUGGGAGGUGAUCAUCUCCCUGUACUCAGUACUCAUAAGAUCGAACCUUGGAUCCUGUGUCCAGUUCUAGGCCACCCAAUUCAGGAAGGGCUUUCCAGUAUCCAGAAAAGCGCAAUGAAGGUUGGUGAAGGUUCUGGAGUGCAUGUCCUGUAAGGAGCAGCUGAGGGAGCUGGGGGUUUAACCUGGACAAAAGGAGGCUCAGAUGUGACCUUAUCACUCUCUACAGCUGCCUGAAUGAGGCUGCAGCCAGGUGGGGAGAGGGCUUUUCUCCCAGGCUACCAAGAGCAGACCAAGAGGCCAUAACCCCCAGCUGUGCCAGGGGAGGUUCAGUCUGCACAUUAAGCAAAGUUUUUUAACAGAAAGGUUGAUGAGACAUUGGAAUGGGCCCGAAGAGGUGAUGCAGUCACCAUGCUUGGAGGUGUUAAGGACUGGAUGUGACACUUGGUGCCACGGUCUUGUAGAUGUGCUGGUGUUCGGUCACAGGUUGAGCUCGACAGCCCUAGAGCUCUUUUCCAACCGGUUUGAUUCUGUGGCUGUGUGAAACACGGGGCGGCAGGAUACCGCAGGGGUCUGGCAGAGGAGAGAUGGGCAUCCUGGAGCGGCGGGCAGAGCUCGGCCCGGGCUGACGCCGCGGCCGUCCAGAGGCGGCGCCAGGCGGGGCGGGGCGGGGCGGGGCCGGGGCGGGCAGAGUGGGGCACUCCCGGCCGGCCUCAGGCUAGAGUCGCGGGGCGCUGAGGGUGGCCGGGCUGUAGCUAUGUGGAGCUCAUUCGGCGCCCGCUCGGAGUCGGCCAGGGCAGCCAGGGGCCGUUUCUGGGCUGUCGUCCUGGGAGCAGCGGCGGGGUUCUUCCUCCUCGGGUUCCUCAUCGGCUGGUUUGCAAAACCUACAGAUAAGAAGACAUCUCUGAGUACUCAUGAGGACAUGAGGACAGCAUUUAUGGCUGAAAUGAAAGCAGAAAACAUCAAGCAGUUUCUUUACAAUUUUACACAGCUUCCUCACCUAGCAGGAACAAAGGAAAAUAUGCAUCUGGCACAGCAAGUCCAAGCUGAGUGGGAGAAAUUUGGUUUGGAUUCAGUUCAGUUGGUUCAUUAUGAUGUCUUGCUCUCUUACCCUGAUGACACUAAGCCCAACUACAUCUCAAUAAUUGAUGAGCAUGGCAAUGAGGUUUUCAACACAUCAUUGUCUGAGCCUCCUCCUCCAGGAUAUGAGGCUGUUAGAGAUGUGGUGCCUCCCUACAGUGCCUUUUCAGCCCAAGGAAUGCCUGAGGGUGAGUUGGUGUAUGUGAAUUAUGGCCGCACCGAGGACUUCUUUACGUUAGAACGUGAAAUGGGAAUUGACUGUACAGGAAAGAUUGUUAUUGCCAGAUAUGGGAAGAUCUUCAGAGGAAAUAAGGUGAAGAAUGCUGAAUUGGCAGGUGCCAAGGGAAUUAUUCUGUACUCUGACCCUGCUGACUACUGCGCACCUGGAGUAGAUCCUUAUCCAAAUGGCUGGAACCUUCCAGGUGGAGGAGUCCAGCGUGGGAAUGUAUUAAACCUGAAUGGGGCAGGGGAUCCUCUGACUCCAGGUUAUCCUGCAAAAGACUACAUGUACCGAUUAGACAAAACCAGUGGUGUAGGUCUCCCAAAAAUUCCAAUUCAUCCUAUUGGCUAUCAUGAUGCAGAGUCAUUACUGCGCAAUAUGGGAGGACAGGCACCACCUCAUAGUAGCUGGAAAGGAAAUUUGAAUGUAUCUUACAACGUCGGUCCUGGUUUUACAGAAAAUAAUUCUACAAGAAAGGUGAAAAUGCACAUUCAUAACAACAAUGAAGUAAGAAGGAUUUACAAUGUGAUUGGUACCAUCAGAGGGACAGUGGAACCAGACAGAUAUGUCAUCCUGGGAGGCCACCGUGACUCAUGGGUAUUUGGUGGCAUUGAUCCUCAGAGUGGGGCAGCUGUGGUUCACGAGAUUGUGAGGAGCUUUGGAAAACUGAAAAAGAAAGGAUGGAGGCCAAGGAGAACAGUGAUGUUUGCAAGCUGGGAUGCAGAGGAAUUUGGCUUGUUAGGAUCAACAGAGUGGGUUGAGGAAAAUGCCAAAGUAUUGCAAGCACGCGGAGUGGCUUAUAUCAAUGCAGAUUCUUCUGUUGAAGGAAACUACACACUGCGAGUGGAUUGCACACCACUGAUGUACAGUCUGGUUUACAGUCUGACUAAAAAGAUACCAAGUCCUGAUAAGGGGUUUGAAGGAAAAUCUCUUUAUGAGAGCUGGUAUAAGAAAAAUCCAUCAAGUGAAUAUAAAGGGGUCCCCAGAAUAAAUAAAUUGGGUUCUGGCAAUGACUUUGAAGCAUUUUUUCAACGUCUUGGCAUUGCUUCAGGCAGAGCACGUUACAGUAAAAAUUGGGACGUAGAAAAAUACAGCAGCUAUCCAGUUUACCACAGUGUCUAUGAAACCUAUGAAAUUGUGGAACAGUUUUAUGAUCCCACUUUCAAGAAUCACCUGGCAGUAGCUCAGAGGCUCUGUUUUCAGCCGUGAAGAAUUUUACAGAUGUUGCUGCCAGCUUUCAUGAGAGACUGCAACAAAUAGAUGUCAAUAACCUGCUUGCUGUCAGGUCACUAAAUGAUCAGCUCAUGUUUCUAGAAAGGGCUUUCAUCGACCCUCUUGGAUUACCUGGCAGGCCAUUCUAUAG